rnacentral:lncRNA from 1 species
UUUUUAAAUUUUUUUUUUUUUUUUUUUACCAUUGUAAAAGUAAUAUACCACAUGUAGAUUAUGGGUAUCUACAAGUAUAUGAGAAGCACUAAAAAUUGGCUUGGAUAAAAACUAUCAAAAUUCAACAAUAAAAACUAAUAAGUGGAUAAAAGACCUCAAAGAGGAUAGCAAACAAGCUCAUGAAAAGAUAAUCAAAUUGCUAGUCACUGGGGAAAUACUAAACCCUUAGUGGGUUACCACAAUGUAAUUUAUUAGAAUAGCUAAAACUUUUUUAAAAAACAAAAAAACCUAAUAGUACUAAGUGUAGGCAGGGAUAUGGAACAACUGAAACACUUUUGAAUUGCUGGCGAGAAUGCAAAAUGGUAAUAGCCACCCUAGGAAGACAGAUUAGCAAAUUUAGCAAUGUCUGAUGAAGCUAAACAUACACUUAACAUAUGACCCAACAAACUCACCCCUAGGUGAUUCUCAGGAAAAAUGAAAAUGUGUUUACACACAACACAAUCUGUAUAUAGAUGUUUAUAGCAGUUUAUUCAUGAUUGCUAAAAACUGGAAACAACUCAAAUGUCCUUCAGUUGGUGAGUGGAUAGUGGAAUACCAUUUGGCAACAAAAAGGAAUAUGCUGUUGGAUACAUACAACACCAAUGGAUUAAUCUCAAACUGAUAAUGCUAAGUGAAAAGCCAGACUAUGUACUGUAUGAUUCCAUUAUAUGACAUUCUGGAAAACACAAAACUAUGGACAGAGGAUAGAUCAUUGGUUGCCAAGGCUUAAGCCUGGAGGUAGGGUUUGGUCACAGCAUCUUUGGGGGAUAUUCUGUAUCUUAAUUGUGGUGAUGGUUAUAUGACUUGUCUAUACUCAGAUCUAUACACUAAAAUGUGAGUUCUAUAUGUAAAUUUAAAAUAAGCUUGGAGAAGAAAUAGCCUGGAUAGAUACACAUGCAACUUGUAAUAGUUGUCCCUGGGAAGGAGGGAAAGGGGACCAGAGAGGAAUUAAAGGGGAUUUUAGCCUCACUAUAUGUUUUCUUUAGAAAAAAAAAAAAGUAAAUAUGACAGCAUACUAUUAAAUUUAUAGGGUAAGUUUAUCAGUGUUUGCUUUCUUAUACUUAUUUGUAUUUUUAAUUGGCCAAAACAUAAACCAAGCAAAAUAUAUCCUCCUAAAGGAAAAUUCAGAGAAGACAUUAAAGUAGAAGGGGGAAGAAGUCACCAGUUGUAUUAAAACAUUUGGGUGUAUUUCCUCUGUUCCAUCUCGUCAUGUUUGUUUUUGCAUAGUGGAAAGUGUAAUAUAAUGUAAGAACAAUACAGCCUGUAGUUUUAGUUUUACUUGGUAUAUCCUAAAUAUGUUUUUCUUCCUCUUAAAUGAUCUUCAUAAAUAUUAUUUGCAGUGAUGUAAUGUCAAUCUUAAGGCCUGCAACUGCUCUCAUUUUACAGUUGUAGGUAUUUUUGUAUUAAACUGGUGUUUCACUUCACUAACACGGAAGCACGUAUGAGGGUAUGUUUGCACGAAUCCUGUAAAUUACGACGUCUCUGAGCCAUUGUAAUUUAAUAGGAAGUCCUAUCUUUCCUUGGAGUUUUCCUCCACAAAUGUUUCCAUGUACUUCAUGUUCAGUACAGCUGGAGGUCCACAUCCCUGCUGGUCACUAUCCUGCUGGAAACCAUCAGGAUACACCAGCUCUUUGUAUAAUGUAUUUUCAAGGAGAGCCCAUGGCAAAAUCACCCAGCUUCUGGUGUUCUUUUGUAGAUUUGUCUGACUCCUUAGAUUAACUCAUGCCAUCAUUUUCGCCAAGGCAGGAAGUGGUGAACCUCUCUAAUCCAGCACUCUCCUCUGAUCACCUUCUUUACACCCUAAUAUAUGCUUCCGUUUCUUUAAUUGUAAACUGGAGAUAAUGACACAGCUUUAAUGCAUGUGGAAUGCUUAGUAUAGUGCCUGGCACUUGAUAGAUUUUUUUCCAUUCUUCGUGAAGUUCAUCUUCGAGUUAAAAGAAACCCUCUGAACCCUGCUAUUUCUAUGCUCCUUCUGCUCUCAGAAUCUGUUCCACAUUACUGAACGUUUUAAUUAGAGUUGCAUACCAUCUUCCUUGAUUACUAGAUCUCCAGCCUUCCAUAGCACCACAUGUAACUUUGUGUGUGUGUCUGUGACCCUCAUUGAAGUGCUGUGAAGGCAAGAACCAAGACUUCUCUGCAUUGUUCUCAACGCUUAGCAGAAUACCUGGCACAUAGUCCCUCAAUAAAUACUUAUGGAAUAAAUGAAGGAA